AACGAACGCUGGCGGCAUGCCUAACACAUGCAAGUCGAACGAGAUCUUCGGGUCUAGUGGCGCACGGGUGCGUAACGCGUGGGAAUCUGCCCUUUGGUUCGGAAUAACAGUUGGAAACGACUGCUAAUACCGGAUGAUGACGAAAGUCCAAAGAUUUAUCGCCAGAGGAUGAGCCCGCGUAGGAUUAGCUAGUUGGUGUGGUAAAGGCGCACCAAGGCGACGAUCCUUAGCUGGUCUGAGAGGAUGAUCAGCCACACUGGGACUGAGACACGGCCCAGACUACUACGGGAGGCAGCAGUGGGGAAUAUUGGACAAUGUGCGAAGGCCUGAUCCAGCAAUGCCGCGUGAGUGAUGAAGGCCUUAGGGUUGUAAAGCUCUUUUACCCGGGAUGAUAAUGACAGUACCGGUAGAAUAAGCUCCGGCUAACUCCGUGCCAGCCGCCGCCGUAA
rnacentral:rRNA from 1 species